UACGAAGGGGGCUAGCGUUGCUCGGAUUGACUGGGCGUAAAGGGCGCGUAGGCGGUUCGUACAGUCAGACGUGAAAUUCCUGGGCUCAACCUGGGGGCUGCGUUUGAUACGUGCGGGCUUGAGUUCGGAAGAGGGUCGUGGAAUUCCCAGUGUAGAGGUGAAAUUCGUAGAUAUUGGGAAGAACACCGGUGGCGAAGGCGCGACCUGGUCCGGAUACUGACGCUGAGCGCGAAAGCGUGGGGAGCAAACAGG
rnacentral:rRNA from 1 species